rnacentral:rRNA from 1 species
UGAGCAAUCUGCCCUUCUCAUCGGAAUAAGCGUUGGAAACGACGUCUAAUGCCGAAUACGACCUCCUUUCGCAUGAUCGGAGGUGGAAAGCUCCGGCGGAGAAGGAUGAGCUCGCGGCCUAUCAGCUUGUUGGUGAGGUAAUAGCUCACCAAGGCGACGACGGGUAGCCGGCCCGAGAGGGCGACCGGCCACACUGGGACUGAGACACGGCCCAGACUUCUACGGAAGCAG